UACGUAGGGUGCGAGCGUUAAUCGGAAUUACUGGGCGUAAAACGUGCGCAGGCGGUUUUGCAAGCCGGAUGUGAAAUCCCCGGGCUCAACCUGGGAAUGGCAUUCGGGACUGCAAGGCUGGAGUGCGGCAGAGGAGACUGGAAUUCCUGGUGUAGCAGUGAAAUGCGUAGAUAUCAGGAGGAAUACCGAUGGCGAAGGCAGGUCUCUGGGCUGACACUGACGCUCAUGCACGAAAGCGUGGGGAGCAAACAGG
rnacentral:rRNA from 1 species